GAAGCGUGAACCCGGCACGACAACCGUCGGUCAGACCGGGACCGUCCCACCGCAAGGUAGGACUACC
rnacentral:sRNA from 1 species